rnacentral:rRNA from 1 species
UACAGAGGGUGCAAGCGUUAAUCGGAAUUACUGGGCGUAAAGCGUGCGUAGACGGUUAUUUAAGUCAGGUGUGAAAGCCCCGGGCUCAACCUGGGAAUUGCAUUUGAGACUGAAUAGCUAGGGUGCGGAAGAGGGAAGCGGAAUUUCCGGUGUAGAGGUGAAAUUCGUAGAUAUCGGGAGGAACACCGGUGGCGAAGGCGGCGAUCUGGGUCGAUACGUGACGCUGAGGUGCGAAAGCGUGGGGAGCAAACAGG